AAAAUCAUCAGUAGUGCAUGUACUAAAAUUGGAGCGAUACAGAACAGAUUAGCAUAGCCCUGUGCAAGGAUGACCUGUAAAUUCAGGAAGUGUUUCAUAUUUUU